rnacentral:rRNA from 1 species
AGGGCACCACCAGGAGUGGAGCCUGCGGCUUAAUUUGACUCAACACGGGAAAACUCACCCGGCCCGGACACUGGAAGGAUUGACAGAUUGAGAGCUCUUUCUUGAUUCAGUGGGUGGUGGUGCAUGGCCGUUCUUAGUUGGUGGAGUGAUUUGUCUGGUUAAUUCCGAUAACGAACGAGACUCUAGCCUACUAAAUAGAUCGUCGGUUUACAAACGCCGGCGAGACUUCUUAGAGGGACAGGCGGUGAUUCAACCGCACGAAACAGAGCAAUAACAGGUCUGUGAUGCCCUUAGAUGUCCGGGGCCGCACGCGCGCUACACUGAAGUGAUCAGCGUGCUUUUUCAACCUACUCUGUCAAGAGUGGGGAACCCAAUGAACCUUCUUCGUGAUUGGGAUAGGGGAUUGUAAUUAUUCCCCUUGAACGAGGAAUUCCCAGUAAGCGCGAGUCAUAGGCUCGCGUUGAUUACGUCCCUGCCCUUUGUACACACCGCCCGUCGCUACUACCGAUUGAAUGUUUU